GAUCCUGGCUCAGGAUUAACGCUGCGGCGUGCAUAACACAUUCAAGUCGAACGAAGCACUUUAAACGGAGACUUCGGUCAAAGUUUUCUGUGACUUAGUGGCGGACGGGUGAGUAACGCGUGAGCAACCUGCCUCUGUGUGGGGGACAACGACUGGAAACGGUCGCUAAUACCGCAUAACAUAUUUUUUCCGCAUGGUUUAAAUAUCAAAGAUUUAUCGCACAGAGAUGGGCUCGCGUCUGAUUAGAUAGUUGGCAGGGUAACGGCCUACCAAGUCGACGAUCAGUAGCCGGACUGAGAGGUUGAACGGCCACAUUGGAACUGAGAUACGGUCCAGACUCCUACGGGAGGCAGCAGUGGGGAAUAUUGGGCAAUGGGCGAAAGCCUGACCCAGCGACGCCGCGUGAAGGAAGAAGGCCUUCGGGUUGUAAACUUCUGUUGUAAGGGACGAAACAAAUGACGGUACCUUACGAGGAAGCCACGGCUAACUACGUG
rnacentral:rRNA from 1 species